CCUACGGGAGGCAGCAGUGAGGAAUAUUGGGCAAUGGGCGCGAGCCGGAACCAGCCAAGUAGCGUGAAGGAUGACUGCCCUAUGGGUUGUAAACUUCUGUUAUAGGGGAAUAAAGUGCAGUAUGUAUACUGCUUUGCAUGUACCUUAUGAAUAAGGAUCGGCUAACUCCGUGCCAGCAGCCGCGGUAAUACGGAGGAUCCGAGCGUUAUCCGGAUUUAGUGGGUUUAAAGGGAGCGUAGGCGGGUUGUUAAGUCAGUUGGGAAAGUUUGCGGCUCAACCGUAAAAUUGCAGUUGAUACUGGCAUCCUUGAGUACAGUAGAGGUCGGCGGACUUCGUGGUGUAGCGGUGCACUGCUUAGCUCUCCC
rnacentral:rRNA from 1 species